AUGGACCCUCUAGAGGCGUGUGCGUUCUGGUGCAGAUGCCCUGGGCAUCUAGGGGGCAGAGCCAAGCCUUCUUCUCAGGUGCCUGAGGUGCCCACAUGGGAGAUGCUGCUGUCCCUACAGGGAUACCUGGGGACUGUGGUCAGGGAGGAGCCAGCCUCCUCCUCCUCAGGACCGACUGGGGAAGCUGUUGCUUCAGGACCCCCGAGGCUGCCUGAGGAAAGGUUUGUUCGGGGUAGAUCGGGGAAAAAGAAGGGAGAAACCCUGAGAGCAGCACGGAGAGCCCCAGGGAGACACGCAUCCCACUACUUGCUUUUUUUGUGUUCCAGUGGCACGUUUUUCUUAGUGUCAAAGUACUUGAAAAAUACUGAAGAACAGAUAGAUGCUUUAAGCAUUUAAAAUAUACUCAGACGUCUCCUGACGAUGUGGAUACUUUCUGAGACAUUUGUCCUUAGCGGUUUCAUCUUUGUACAAAUACAGUAGAGUGUCCUUACGAAACCUAGAUCGUGUAGCCCACUCCACACGUAAGUUCUAUGGUAUAACCUAUUGCUCCCAGGCUGCACACCUGUAUAGGAUGUGUCUGUACUAAAUGCUGUAGUCAACUGUCACACCAUGGUGAUUGUGGAUUGUGAUCCCAAAAUACCUGAGACAGGUCUCAGUCAAUUUAGAAAACUUUUUUUGCCAAGGUUUAACCCAUGAUACCUCCUUAGGAGGUCCUGAUGACAUGUGCCCAAGGUGGUCAGGAAAGAGCCUGCUUUUAUACGUUUUAGGGAGACAUGAGACACCAAUCAAUAUUUGUAAGAUGUGUAGGUCCAGUAAGGCGGGAUGACUGGAAGCAGGAAGUGAGGGUGCUUCCAGGUCAGAAGUAGAUAAGAGACAAAAGGUUGCAUUUUUUUGAAUCCUUGAUCAGCCUUCCACUGAAUACACAAUUUAGUCUUGCUCAGUGAAUCUGCAUUUUUACAUAAACAAUAGUGCAGAGGAAUGGCACGAUCUCGGCCAACAACAACCUCCGCCUCCCGUGUUCAAGCAACUCUUCUGCUUCAGUCUCUUGAGCACCUGGGAUUACAUGCAUGCACCACUAUGCCGGGCCAGUUUUUGUACUUUUAGUAGAGAUGGGGUUUCUCCGUGUUGGUCAGGCUGGUCUCGACCUCCUGACCUCAGGUGAUCUUCCCUCCUCCGCCUCCCAAAGUGCUGAGAUUACAGGCAUGAGCCACUGUGCUUGACCAGGAAGCGUAUUUUGAUUCUGAUAUUGUCAACUGUAUUUCAGGCAUAACUUAUUUUCCUCAGAGCAUUAAAUACUGCUUUGGUAUUUUAUUACACAACUAAAGCACAGAUCCCUUUUUAUUAUCUUCAUUACUAGCUAUACUGGUAUCUAAAUUUAGAAACACUCCAGAGUCUGGGCUUCCAGUAAGUCUUUGUGAUCCUCUAAAAGGUAAAUUAUUUUUUCCAGCAAGACACAGUGACAUCUAAAGUUACAUUGAAUGUCUUGCCAGUGUUGUUUCUCUAGUUUCAUCAAUUUCUGCAAAGCAUCGUUGAGGGAGUAACUGACUAUCCCUUUAAACACCUCUGUAUUAAAAAGCAUCAUGAUGAAGCAUUGAAUGUGGUCACAAAAUCUGCUUGCAGUCUUCCUGUCUUUGAAUAUUUUUUCAAUUGACAAAUAUUUGCUUCUGUUGUAUUGUAAUUAGAAGGAAUCCUCUGCUAGGAAACAAAGACAAGCAUUCAUUAGAAUAAGUGAUCCAGUCACAGUGAAUCCAGUUGCUAUUUGAAUUUUUUUUUUUACAAAGUUAUACUUUUGAAAAUGUCCAGCUCUAAAUUGAAAUAGUCUCCUAAAGAGUGAACCACAGCACAAGAAAAGAUAUAUGAUAAAUAUGUUUACAUGUAUUUGUUAUUUUAACAUAAAACAUGUAAAAGAGGCAUUUCCUUGAAAUUAUAUAUUAAUUUGUAUAAUUUACUUUGCAGCAUCAUGAAUGCUUUUAUUUUAAAAAUGAGUAGUGUCAAUUACUGCUGAUUAUUAGUACAAAUAAUUUAGCAGAUAUUUGAGAAAAUAUACAACUUUUUAGUAAAGGGUUUAUUUUAAAUUAGUUUUAGAUUCACAAUGAAAUCUAAAAUGAGAAGAAAAUGUAGAUUUCCUAUCGCGACCCAACCUAGUUUCCCCUCAUAUUAACAUAUCAACAUGUAACAGAUAUGUUAUUAACAUCUUUUUUUUUUUUUUUUUGAGACGGAGUUUCGCUCUUGUUACCCAGGCUGGAGUGCAAUGGCGCGAUCUCGGCUCACCGCAACCUCCACCUCCUGGGUUCAGGCAAUUCUCCUGCCUCAGCCUCCUGAGUAGCUGGGAUUACAGGCACGCGCCACCGUGCCCAGCUAACAUCUUUUUGUUUUGAGAUGGUGUCUUGCUCUGUCACCCAGGUUGGAGUGCAAUGGCGGCACGAUCUUGGCUCAGUGCAACCUACACCUCCUGUGUUUAAGUGAUUUUCCUGCUUCAGGCUCCCAAGUAGCUGGGAUUACAGGCACCACCACCACGCUUGGCUAUUUUUUUGUAUUUUUAGUAGAGAUGGGAUUUCGCCAUGUUUGCCAGGCUGAUCUGAAAUUCCUGACCUCAGAUGAUUUAACCGUCUCAGCCUACCAAAGUUUUGGAAUGACAGGCAUGAGCCUCCAUGCCCAGCCUGCUAGCUGUGUAUUUGCUUUGGCUGGAUAUCUGUCGAGAUACUUACCCAGUUUUAAAAUCACUUAUGUAUUUUGUAAAUAU
rnacentral:lncRNA from 1 species